rnacentral:piRNA from 1 species
UACCUGCUUGGCGAAUAAGGU